AUUGAACGCUGGCGGCAGGCCUAACACAUGCAAGUCGAGCGGAUGACGGGAGCUUGCUCCUUGAUUCAGCGGCGGACGGGUGAGUAAUGCCUAGGAAUCUGCCUGGUAGUGGGGGACAACGUUUCGAAAGGAACGCUAAUACCGCAUACGUCCUACGGGAGAAAGCAGGGGACCUUCGGGCCUUGCGCUAUCAGAUGAGCCUAGGUCGGAUUAGCUAGUUGGUGGGGUAAUGGCUCACCAAGGCGACGAUCCGUAACUGGUCUGAGAGGAUGAUCAGUCACACUGGAACGGAGACACGGUCCAGACUCCUACGGGAGGCAGCAGUGGGGAAUAUUGGACAAUGGGCGAAAGCCUGAUCCAGCCAUGCCGCGUGUGUGAAGAAGGUCUUCGGAUUGUAAAGCACUUUAAGUUGGGAGGAAGGGCAGUAAGUUAAUACCUUGCUGUUUUGACGUUACCGACAGAAUAAGCACCGGCUAACUCUGUGCCAGCAGCCGCCGUAAUAC
rnacentral:rRNA from 1 species